CUGUGAGUAGGUUAAUUAGUAAACUUUUACUUUUCAAGAGUGAGAAAGGCUGUUUCCGGCCUUCACAGG
rnacentral:tRNA from 1 species